GUGGGGAAUAUUGGACAAUGGGCGAAAGCCUGAUCCAGCCAUGCCGCGUGUGUGAAGAAGGUCUUCGGAUUGUAAAGCACUUUAAGUUGGGAGGAAGGGCAGUAAGUUAAUACCUUGCUGUUUUGACGUUACCGACAGAAUAAGCACCGGCUAACUUCGUGCCAGCAGCCGCGGUAAUACGAAGGGUGCAAGCGUUAAUCGGAAUUACUGGGCGUAAAGCGCGCGUAGGUGGUUUUGUAAGUUGGAGGUGAAAUCCCCGGGCUCAACCUGGGAACUGCCUCCAAAACUGCAUGACUAGAGUACGGUAGAGGGUAGUGGAAUUUCCUGUGUAGCGGUGAAAUGCGUAGAUAUAGGAAGGAACACCAGUGGCGAAGGCGACCACCUGGACUGAUACUGACACUGAGGUGCGAAAGCGUGGGGAGCAAACAGGAUUAGAAACCCUUGUAGUCC
rnacentral:rRNA from 1 species